AGUGAACGCUGGCGGUAGGCCUAACACAUGCAAGUCGAACGGCAGCACAGUAAGAGCUUGCUCUUACGGGUGGCGAGUGGCGGACGGGUGAGGAAUACAUCGGAAUCUACUUUUUCGUGGGGGAUAACGUAGGGAAACUUACGCUAAUACUGCAUAGGAACUACGGGUGAAAGCAGGGGAUCUUCGGACCUUGCGCGAUUGAAUGAGCCGAUGUCGGAUUAGCUAGUUGGCGGGGUAAAGGCCCACCAAGGCGACGAUCCGUAGCUGGUCUGAGAGGAUGAUCAGCCACACUGGAACUGAGACACGGUCCAGACUCCUACGGGAGGCAGCAGUGGGGAAUAUUGGACAAUGGGCGCAAGCCUGAUCCAGCCAUGCCGCGUGUGUGAAGAAGGCCUUCGGGUUGUAAAGCCCUUUUGUUUGGAAAGAAAAGCAGCAGGUUAAUACCCCGCUGUUCUGACGGUACCCAAAGAAUAAGCACCGGCUAACUUCGUG
rnacentral:rRNA from 1 species